UACGGAGGGUGCAAACGUUGCUCGGAAUCAUUGGGCGUAAAGCGCACGUAGGCGGCUCGUUAAGUCGGAUGUGAAAGCCCAAGGCUCAACCUUGGAAGUGCAUUCGAAACUGGCGAGCUUGAAUAUGGACGAGGGUCGCGGAAUUCCCGGUGUAGAGGUGAAAUUCGUAGAUAUCGGGAGGAACACCAGUGGCGAAGGCGGCGACCUGGGCCAAUAUUGACGCUAAGGUGCGAAAGCGUGGGGAGCAAACAGGAUUAGAUACCCUGGUAGUCCACGCCGUAAACGAUGGAUGCUAGAUGUUGUGGGUAUUGACCCCUACAGCGUCGCAGCUAACGCAGUAAGCAUCCCGCCUGGGGAGUACGGCCGCAAGGCUAAA
rnacentral:rRNA from 1 species